rnacentral:rRNA from 1 species
UACGUAGAAGACUAGUGUUAUUCAUCUUUAUUAGGUUUAAAGGGUACGUAGACGGUAAAAAUAAGCCUAAAAGAAGGUACGAUUUUACUAGAGUUAUAUUUGAUGAGGGGAGUAUUUAAGGUGUAGAGUUGAAAUUCGUUGAUACUUUAAGGACUGGUUAGGGCGAAAGCGACCUUUUAAUAAAUAACUGACGUCCAGGGACGAAGGCUUGGGUAGCGAACAG